rnacentral:rRNA from 1 species
CAGUCGCCACGGGAAUACGUAGGGUGCAAGCGUUAAUCGGAAUUACUGGGCGUAAAGCGUGCGCAGGCGGUUAUAUAAGACAGAUGUGAAAUCCCCGGGCUCAACCUGGGAACUGCAUUUGUGACUGUAUAGCUAGAGUACGGCAGAGGGGGAUGGAAUUCCGCGUGUAGCAGUGAAAUGCGUAGAUAUGCGGAGGAACACCGAUGGCGAAGGCAAUCCCCUGGGCCUGUACUGACGCUCAUGCACGAAAGCGUGGGGAGCAAACAGGAUUAGAUACCCCUGUAGUCCCUGUCUCUUAUAA